UAGAAAACAUCCAAAAAUAUUUAAAUAAAUGAUAUUCUAUUGUUUAACAGUGCAAUUAAUCACAAUAUUUUUAAUUGUACGAUUAAUCGCGAUUAAUGUUUUUAAUUGCUUGACAGCCCUACUACAUAAGGCUAAAUAUCUGUCAUCUUUAUGCAUUUUUCACAGAGCAUCCAUCUUUAUCACAAAUCUGGUUGCUAGUACACACUUAACUAUGUUGAAAGAAGUGAAGGUUGCCACAAGCAUCUGUUUAGUAGCUACUAGUAAAUAAAUUGUAAUGUGAUUAAAGUUGAGUCUUUUAAUCUUACUCUUUUCAUUCCUGUGUGUAUGUAUGUCUUUGAUUAGCUGAGAGCUAAUCUAUGGUGUACUUGGUAGUGUCUGAAAUCAAAAUUAAGCUCAUUUUUUUGCAACACAUUUGGUCACAUUCAUCCAUAGUGUAAUUUCCAUUUGCUUCUGUGGAGAUACACAAGGAUUAGGGAUUAAUUUUGUCCAGUUUGUUUAAAAUACAAAUUUACCGUGAUUAAGUGUUAGUAGUUUACAGUACAGUUACAAAUGUACAUAGCCAAGAAAUUCAAGAAAUUGGGGGUAAUUCCUAUUGAUUUGAAAUAGAUCUUGAAAUACUUUUGUGCAAGCACCAUAAUAGAUUUACCAGGCUGUUCUGAUUUUGCCCUGGCAUGGCAGUAGAGCCCAAAGUAUUGCAUUCUAGUUUUUAAGGAGGAGCCUGUGUAACCCACUCAUCUCCUGGGUGUGGGGUUCUGUCCCUUCUAGUGGUGCUGAGACCACUUAGAGAGAGAGAGAGAGAUUAAUGAGUCUCCUCUACAGCAUUAGCUAAUAGCCCUGUGGCUUUUAGCUCAUGCAGUAGAGGCUCAUGCACUAAGCUCCAGAGGCCUCAUGUUCAAUCCCAUCUGCCGAUGACUGGGGUGUUUUGUUGUACAUCUACAUUAAUGUGGAUCUCAAAAUUCAAGAUAUGCAACUACCAAUUCAGGGGAAAGACUCAAUGCUCUGAGUUGUGCUCUGGGUGCAGCAUUUUUUCAUAUACCUGCUAAUCUCUUUGAAUUUACAAGUCAUUUCAAGAAACCUUUUAGUUUUAUGUUCUGGAUAUUUUAAAGAAGUUGCAGAUGUCUUAACUGGCUCCCUAGAGAGCAGAAUAUGCCCUCAAAAGACAGGUUUUUUAAAAGCAUGCUUCAAACUUGUUGAAAUUACUGAGACAGAAGGAUGUUCAUUACCUUGCAGGGUCAAGAUCUUUUCAAAUGUUUUGUCAAAGUAACAUCCCCAAAAAUUAAUGGUUGGACAAAAAUUUUCAUCUGGCAUGCUCAGUUUUGUGUUUAUGAUUCUGUUUUUGAUGUAGUUCAGCAGGAGAGAGCUGCACAAAAUAGAAGCAUGUCCUAGAAAAUCAAGGGAAAGAACCGGUCAACAAGAAACAAGUGAUUCAAAGGGGAAAAAAUGGAAGAUCUUUCUGUCCAAAAGCUGCAUCAUAUGGGAAGGCCAGAAGGCCAUUUUUACUGGCAUUGUGGGGUGUCAACCGGAUUUCUAGCUUGCUCAUGCUUAGCACUUUAGCUAUAAGACAACCUGACCUCAUGUAUUUUGCAUAUUAAUUGUUUCAAGUUGUGUGUAAGUGUCAGAUUUUAAUUUACUCUUAUGCUCGGUAUUAAAUUUAAAAUUGUAUU